rnacentral:rRNA from 1 species
AUUGAACGCUGGCGGCAGGCCUAACACAUGCAAGUCGAGCGGAUGAAGGGAGCUUGCUCCUGGAUUCAGCGGCGGACGGGUGAGUAAUGCCUAGGAAUCUGCCUGGUAGUGGGGGAUAACGUCCGGACACGGGCGCUAAUACCGCAUACGUUCUGAGGGAGAAAGUGGGGGAUCUUCGGACCUCACGCUAUCAGAUGAGCCUAGGUCGGAUUAGCUAGUUGGUGGGGUAAAGGCCUACCAAGGCGACGAUCCGUAACUGGUCUGAGAGGAUGAUCAGUCACACUGGAACUGAGACACGGUCCAGACUCCUACGGGAGGCAGCAGUGGGGAAUAUUGGACAAUGGGCGAAAGCCUGAUCCAGCCAUGCCGCGUGUGUGAAGAAGGUCUUCGGAUUGUAAAGCACUUUAAGUUGGGAGGAAGGGCAGUAAGUUAAUACCUUGCUGUUUUGACGUUACCAACAGAAUAAGCACCGGCUAACUUCGUG